UCCAACGCAUAUUGUGCAUAACUAUUUUAACUGUGACGAAUAUAAACACCUAGUGCCGAAACGAGUGUAAAAAGUGGCACAAAUGUCUAAAAUAACGCACUAAAUUGUCUCGCCAGGAUCCGAAUACCCCUGCAUUUGGUACGGUCCACAGUCACAGGACGUCGAGCCUGCGACGUCACCGGUUCCUUAAACCCAGCCCCCGAAAUUCUCAGAACUAAUUUAUAUUCCAUGACUUCAGCAAAUGUGUCGCUCCCUGCGUCUCGUCGCAUUUAACACACAGUCCGUACAUGCACAGCACACAGACCGACCUCUUAAUUAGGCCCAUGCGGACAGGUCGAUGUGACAGGCUGCUGCUGCUGCUGCUUCUUCUUAACCACAAUUCAUUUUUAGCCAGAUUCUCCUGCAGGUCAAAGUAGCUGUCUGCAUCUAAUGCCAACUGCUGAUACUGGUCUGCAGGGCUGGUUUAACAGGAACUACACAGCUGCAGGCCGGUGUUCAACAAGAGCCAUGCACAAAGCAGCAACAGUGCACUCAAGGCAUCCUCCACUUCAGCUCUUGGUCUCUGUUGCUUCUGCGUUGGAAAAAUGCUCAAAUGUGAAUGUAAUCCCGGGCACAGAGGAUUGUUAAAGUUCUUAUUAAACACGCACUAAUUCUUUUUUUUUUUUUUUUUUUAAAUUAUCUCCCACCCACUGCUGCAGAAAUAUAAAACUAACAAUGCGGAAAGAGCAGCACUAGAUGAGAUUUUCACGACAGGAAUCUGGCUUUAGUCUUCAUGUUUCGGCGAAGAUUGCGACCGCCUCCAUUCGUGUACAGGUGUAUUUUCAUGUCAGCUUUUUUUUUUUUGUGGUGUUCCUCCAGCCGAAGCAGUAAAUAGAUUUAAAUCCAACAUGGAAACAUGGCAUUGGUGAGGAUGAAAGCAACCCCACCAAGCCCCAGAAGUCAAAAAAAAAAAAAAGGAAAAAAAAGAAAAACACCUCAAACUCUGGGCACCGACAUGGAUUCAAGAGAUGAUAAUUCCAGCAUUUUUAUUUCAAUAAAAUAUCAAGGAAGAUAUAUAUGCAUAAUGUAUUAAAUGCACAUGCACAUUUAAAUUGUUAAUUUGCACACAAAGAAAGUAUCAUGUCUGUUUCAUUUUCUUUCUCUCUUUUUCCCCACUGUCUGAAUAAUUUGUGCAAGUUUCACUUAAAAUGCAUCUCUUUUGAUUUAAUUUUCUCCUGAAACUGACGAUGUCUCAACAGCGCCUACACCCUUAUUACAGUUAAUACAUAAAGCCAGACGCAGCUUUCUUCCUCUAUAUUCUGGAAAAAAAAAAAAAAAAAAAACUCCCACGGUUUAUAUUUGCUAGAAACAAAUCAAGUCAUAUUACCAUCAGGCCUUAUUCACCCACAUUUGUGCAAGUUUGAGAUAUCUUUUGCAGCGAAAGGUAUUUUUUUUUUAUUGUAAUUGGGUCUCACUAAACACUUCACUCUGUGCUUUCAUUAAAAGCAUCUCUACAGCCCAGGAAAUGCCAGGUGGAAGUUGAGAUUGUGACAUCUCCUGUGCUCGACACAUUCACAUAAUUGUUAUCUGUCCUACAUCACGCAGGCAGCCACUUCUGAUAUCUGCUGCACUUUGAAACAUGUUGCGCUUUGCAUGCACGGGACCACAAGCAACUCUUUGUAUCACAUUUGAAUUGGUAACAGAACAUCAACCGACUCAAUUUUCCAACCAGAGCGUGGAUCGCAAUUGUGUAUUAACGGUCUCUGAACUGUAAAAUAAAAACAUUAAAAAUAAAGGAUCUGGCUUUUACAAAGA